rnacentral:rRNA from 1 species
UACGUAGGUGACAAGCGUUGUCCGGAUUUACUGGGCGUAAAGAGCGCGCAGGCGGUCGAUCAAGUCGAGUGUGAAAGCCCCCCGGCUCAACUGGGGAGGGUCACUCGAUACUGAUCGACUUGAAGGCAGGAGAGGGUAGUGGAAUUCCCGGUGUAGUGGUGAAAUGCGUAGAUAUCUGAAGGAACACCAGUGGCGAAGGCGGCUUUCUGGCCUAUUCUUGACGCUGAGGCGCGAAAGCUAGGGGAGCGAACGGGG